GCCGCGGUGGCACAACCUGGUACUGCGCCAGAUUGCUAAUCUGGUUUCCUUCGGGAUACCUUUGAGGCCUGCCUGAGAAUGGCAAGGGCUGAAGGCCCGUAAUCUGGGUUCAAAUCCCAGCCGCGGCG
rnacentral:tRNA from 1 species